rnacentral:rRNA from 1 species
ACGGGAGGCAGCAGUGGGGAAUAUUGGGCAAUGGACGAAAGUCUGACCCAGCGACGCCGCGUGAAGGAUGAAGGUCUUCGGAUUGUAAACUUUAGUACUCAGGGACGAAACAAAUGACGGUACCUGAGGUUAAGCCACGGCUAACUACGUGCCAGCAGCCGCGGUAAUACGUAGGUGGCGAGCGUUAUCCGGAUUUACUGGGUGUAAAGGGUGUGUAGGCGGUUUUGCAAGUCAGAUGUGAAAAUUACGGGCUCAACUCGUAACCUGCAUUUGAAACUGCAUGACUUGAGUAUCGGAGAGGUAAACGGAAUUUCCAGUGUAGCGGUGAAAUGCGUAGAUAUUGGAAAGAACACCAGUGGCGAAGGCGGUUUACUGGACGACAACUGACGCUGAGACACGAAAGCGUGGGGAGCAAACAGGAUUAGAUACCCUGGUA